UCCGCCCGCGGCAGCGCCCGGCCAGCGGCCCGGAGGGAAAGGGGCCGAGAGCUGCGGGACGUGAGCCAGCAGCGUGUGCAGGGGGCCAUGGCACCCUGGCCUGUGUCAGGAAUAGCGUGGCCUGAAGGACCAGGGAAAGGAUUGUCAGAUCCUGUGUCCAGUUCAGUGCCCUUCAGUACGAGGAGCACAUUGGGGUGCUGGAGCGAAUCCAGAGAAUGGCAACAAAGCUGGUGAAGGGUCUGCAGCACAAGUGCUGUGAGGAGCAGCUGAGGGAGCUGGAGGUGCUUAGCCUGGAGAAAAGGAGGCUCAGGGGGACGUUGUCGUUCUCUACAGCUUCCUGAAAGGAGGCGAUUGUCAGCUGGGAAUUGGGCUCUUCCUCCAAGCAACGAGUGACAGGACUAGAGGAGAUGGCCUCGGGCUGUGCUUGUUUAGAUUGGAUGUUAAGAAACAUUUUUUCACCAUAAGGGUGGUCAGGCGUUGGAGCUGAAGGGAGCUGCUCGGGGAAAUGAUGGGAUCACCAUCCCUGGAGGUAGUUAGAAUUCUGACAUGUAAAUUGUAGAUGGGAUUUAGAGACACCGUUCAGCGGUGGGAUUGGCAGUGCUGGGUUAGUGGUUGGACACAAUGAUCUUGGAGGUCUUUUCCAGCCCAAAGGAUUCUAUGAUCCAGCCGAGAAUGUGCCACCUCCAGGAGCGGCCAUGCCGGCAUGGGGCUGGUGUCCGUGAGGGGAGCGCCUGUGGGUGGUUUCACCCAUCCCGGCCGGUGCCUCGCAGGGCAGAGACCGGGUGGAGGCACCGUGCCCGUGUGGGGCAGGGCCCAGCCCGCCUGCACUGGGGCACCAGCCAGUCCAGGCACCAGCCAGGGUGUGAAGGCAGCGGCGACGGAGAGAUGGAGACACCUCAGCGAGGUGCCUGUGGCAGGGCUGCUGCUGGCUUUGUGCUGAGCCCGGCAACAGCCUGGGCUGGAAGUGGGGAUCCACCAAAUGUCUCUUCACAGAGAUGAGAUGGAACAACUAGAACAGCUAGAGUUGUUCCACGUUAGGAUUUUUCCAUAUCUGGAGUGAGUGAUGUUAGGGAAAGUGCAGGGCUCCCAUGAGCAGAAGGUAUGGAAAACUACAGUAAUGCGUGUGGGCUAGAUCCCAGCUGCAGAACCACAGAACGAUGCAGACUGGAAGAGUCCUCUAAAAGCCAUCUGAUUCAGCCCCAGAGCAAAACACAAACACGCUUAGAGAGUGUUUUGCUCAUGGUUUUGCCCAGUUGUGUCUGGAUAUCUCCAAUGGUGGAAAUUCCAGAGCUUCAUUGAGCGUCUCAUCCAAGAUUUGAUUAACCUCAGAUUGAAAAUAAAUUUCUGAUGUUAAAACCCAUGAUGUCUCUCAUCAGUUUGCAUUUGAGGUUUCAGGGUUCUGUACCUGGAAGUCAGUGCACAAAACCAUAAGGAGAACGUGGCUUGUGACAAACCAAGAAAAGCCCAGCACAAAAAUCAGAAAUAAAAUUUAUCCCAAUUGGCAUCAGCAGAUGGACAAAAUUAUACCAAAGAUAAUAAUUCCAGCACCAGUUCUGUAAAACUGUUUCUAUGUAUUGUUGAGAAGCUUCAUAGCUAUAACAGAAAUUACAGAUUUGUUUGUAAGGCUGCUGUAUUUGGCAAUCAUUUAACAUGCAGUAGAAAUACAAAAUGCUGAUAAAAGUCUGGGAUUGCAGACAAUUAUUUAAAUGCUUAAUUUUUUCCUUUGUGAGUGUCCCCUGAUUUCAGCAUUUUGUUACUCCUCUCUGAUUUUUCUUUGCUCAAGUGAAGGCAUUGUAGGUGUGGCGGCAGGGGGAGGAAAUGCAGCUGGAUGUCACAUCUGUGCCUGAUGAUAUUUACCAGUGCCUUGUUAGAGAGUGCAUGUUAGCUCUGUGUCACGUUCCCUCUGACAUGGUAUGAUCUGGAUGCAAUGACAGCAAUUGCUGAGCUGUGAGCCACCAUGAUAAACGAUUCUGACGGAGAUAGAAGAAAGCCACUUUCCCUGUGCUUCCCUUCACUUGCUAAUAAUCUUGUUCCUUCUGAAGACCCUGUGACAAUGCAGCAGUCACCCUUCACCAGUGGGCACUGUGAAAUGAUGAGGCAGUACCUUUCUGCAGGGUACACAUUAAUAAGGUCUUGAGGCCAUUAUUCCCUUGGCUAAGCUUUGCUAGAAGCAAAGAGAUGGGAGGUAUUUUGUCCUAUAGCAAUGCACACAUCUAAAAUGAGGGAGUUAAGAUUUAUUUUCCCUGUCUGCUUUCUCCCAUAAGGACUUGAUCUUUUUACACUUGCGUCAGUGAAACUCAGGAGUAAUUCUGAUGAGGUCAGUGAAGCUGUAUGAGUGCACAGCUGGUGUAACUGGAGGCAGACACAAUCAAGCAUAAUUCUUAGAAUCACAGAAUCACAGAAUGCCUUGAGUUGGAAGGGGCCUUAUAGAUCAUCUAGUUCCAACCUGCCCACCUUUGGCAGGAACACCUUUCACUACACCAGGUUACUCAGAGCCCCAUCUAACCUGGUCUUUAACACUGACAAGGUUGAGGCAUCUAUCUCUUCUCUGGGGAACCUGCUCCAGUGCCUCACCACCCUCAUAUUAAAGAACUUCUUUCUAACAUCUAAUGUAAACCUACCUUCUUUCAGUUUAAGGCCAUUCCCCAUGUCCUGUCUCUACAGUUCCUGACAACAAAUUCCUGUCCAGCUUCCCUGUAUCUUCCAUCAGAUACUGGAAAGCUACUGUUAGAUCUUCAUACAACCUUCUCUUCUCCAGGCUGAACAGCCCCAAUUCUCUCAGCCUGUGUUCAUAGAAUAGGUGCUUCAGUCCUGUUAUCAACUUCUGGAUGGCCUCUCUGGACUUGCUCCAACAGUUCCAUAUUUUUAUGUUGGGAUCACCAGAGCUGGAUGGGGCACUCCAGGUGGGGUCUCACAAGUGCAGGGGCAGAAUCCCCUUCCUUGCCCUGCUGGCCCUGCUGCUUUGGAUGCAGCCUGGGAUUCAGUUAGCUUUUUGGACUGUGAGCAGACAUUGCUUGGUCAUGUUGAGUUUUUUGUCAACCAUCAUCACUCUAUGGUGGUUGAGGUUACAGACAGUUGCAGUUCUCACUGCUGGAUUGGUUCUGAAGGGAGAAUAAUUCUUGGGUUGAACUGAAACGCUGGAAGAAGUUUCCUUGCUAGGCAGUGCAUCCAGCACAUCAUUGACUUACUGACUACUGUGUCAUGUUUUCCUGGAUUUCCUUGAAAAUCUAUUGUUGCUUCCCCCAGCCAUAAAUUCUCAUGUUUAGCUGCAUUCCAGAUCUAAUAAUAAAUAGAUACCCUUUAGAUGGGGUGAUGGAAAGCUGUUUUGGGGGUUUUAUCAUAUUAAAGGCUUUCUGAUAUGAUAACAUAGACUAAAGGCUUUUGAAUCAAAAUUUCUAUAAAGGAAGCUUUUAAAUAUAUAUUCUACAUAAGGAGAAAAUAAACCCAAAAUAAGCAAACUAGUUUCAGCUAAACAUGUGCAUAGAAAGCAUCAUCUUGAAAAGAGUAGGCAAUAGUCAUCUUUGUAAAUCCAUUUGUAUCAAUUUGAGAUAGUCUAGUUUAUCCUAGGAGCAUCAGGGAGAGUAAGGAAGACAAAUGGAGAAGACAAACAAGGAAGAAAAAACUGUCCUUUCAGUGCUGAGCUGCUUGAUGAAUUGUGACUUUUUUUGUUUGUGUAAAAAGUCAGCUGGAAAGCUGGAUUAUAGAAACUGCAUAACAGUUGCAAUGAAAAGUAAGAAAAUGUCUUCAUGAUUGCUGUGAAUGUGUAGUCCUCUGUCAUGCUCUGGUGUUUCUUAGCCUGGGGAAUACAAUACUGGGUGUAUAAAUUAACUGUUUAUUAUUAUGAAAAGGUGUCUGUGCCAGACAAUCUACUGAGAAAGUAAGUGUCAUAGAUCUGCUGUGUGGUAGUUGUGAGUCAGAUUGUUUAACAUAAUGGGAGAACUUGGUAAUUGGAGUGUAGCAAUGUGGCCACUGGGGACUUGGGUGUAACAAACAAUAAGGGAAGUGGGGCAUACUAGACAUGUCCCAUCAUUCAUAGCAUGGCUGUAAGCAGGAGAAGAGACAAUGAACUGAAGGAUGGGAAGGAGAAAGAAGUCAUCAAUAGGGAACAUGAUUAACACACUUUUCUUACUGCAGAGUACAGUCAUGAUAUCACCUCCUUCAGCUGGCUGUUAAUCAAGCAAUUGACAGGUGUUGGAACAGCAGCAGAUCUUACCUGUAGCUGUUCAAACCUCUGUUUGCUUAUCAGCCAGCCACUUUCUGGGUCUUUUUAAAAAUGUUAAGAUGAAUCACAUCUCUUUUCCUGAAGAAUAUAUAAUGUCAUUCUUAUCUGGAUGUACUAGAAAUUUUAGCCUUUUUCCCAGGCUGGCUGCUGAAGUCUGUGUUGCUUUCAUUUUUUCAUUUGUCUCACUCACUGCCAGUCCAUGGGCCUUUUCUGGUCAAUGAUUUGAACUACAAUGAGCUCACAACUUUUUGACAAUUACUGAAAACAGGUAUGAUCCACAUUCAAUAGCACAGAAAAGAAUAUUUAUCUGCCAGUUUUGCUGUUCAGUUAUAUCCAGUUACAUAUUUUGUUUAUUCAUGUUCUAAAUUUUAAUUAUUUUACAUAUUUUUUGUGUAGAAAUAAGUUAUAUGUUAAUGUAACGCCUGGCGCAGUGGCUCUGUAAACACUGAGAAAAACAGAACAUUUUUUAUUGUUUGUGUAUGUAUAUAUGCAUCCGUAUAUAAGAGAUAUGAAUACUAUUAUAUUUUAAAAGUAUUAAAGAGUCAGAAAGUACAUUUACAUGAUACUCAAUCACACAGAGUGUCUGCAGUCACAAAAAUCAACCAAUUUUUUCUCUGCAUUUCAGUGCCAUUUAAAAAAAUGUUUGGCUUUUGCAUUUGCUUUCAUUGUGGAUUGGAAACUAUUCAUGCUCUUAUAUAUUUUGGGGAUUCUUUGAGGGAGGAAAGAACCCCUUUUAUUCGAAGAAGUAGUGUUUUAGAUGAGGGUAUGCAUCUGAGUUUUACUAAUAAGUUUACAUCUCCAGAUUUACUGAUUUACUCAAUACUAGAGGAGUCAUGUUUUCAAAAUUAAAAUAGUGGCCCUGCAGUUUCUGUGCCUUGCAGCCUUGCAUAAAGUAGUCUUGACAACUGGCGAUAUUCUAGAUAACUGCUAACAGCUCUUACUGACAAGUGCAUGUCAGUGGUUUCUCUACUGCGUCUCUUACUCUCUGACACUCUGCCUGCACUGUCCAUAUUGGGGACUUAAGGGAACUCUCUGCAGAGAAACUACUUGAGAGAGACUUAGGGACCCUGUGACAUCAGAGACAAUUCCUUGGAUACACGGAGAUGAGGGUACUAUUUCUGCACAAGGCUUGACAGGCACUUAGUAUAGGGCCAGUGAGGCAGUCUGGGUUUGAACAUGUAGUGAAGGGGAGUGUGGAGCACUGAGAAUUAGGUGCUUCUGGCACUGAUGCUGAUACAUUUCUUUUAAAUAAGCCUGGUGGCAAAAUACUUCCUGCCAUGAUCCUCUCAAAUACUGACUGCAUGGGAGAGGUUACACUUCAGAAUCUUUCUCACUUUACUUACAGUGAGAUUUUAAAAAAUUAUUUUAAAAGUAUGGUGAUGUAUGCAGCUCAUUUUAAUUUGCAGAGGGGCAACAAAACACUUUAAACAAUUUAUGACUAAUUUAAUAAGAAAAAUGUGUCUAGCCUGUGUCACUAAUACAAUUAAUAACUCUUGUGUGUGAACUGCAACAGACAGAUCUGAGAUGCAAAACAUGAUGUUAUUUCUUGAGCAGAAGCUGUAGGGGUUAUGCAACUGUUGAGCUGCGUUGGCAGCCUUUAGUGCUUUUCUUGACAUUUUGUGUGAAUUGUCUUCCAAUUCAGAACCCAUUUAUAAUUAAUUAACUUAUACUUUAUUUUUAAUUAGUUGUAGUGCAGUUAUUUUAAAAAAACAUCAAGAUCGUAAUUUAAUUAGUGGUGGACUAUACCUGAGUUAAGUUUUCCAAGCUGUUUUGUAUGUAUCAGAAUGCAGACUUUAUUUGCAUAGUCACAAACUUUUUUUCCCAAAAACUGUGCUUUGUUCAGUGUACUGCAUAAGUGUGCUCAAUAGCAUUAUGAUUUUUCUUCUUUAUUCAGUCAAUGUCUGUUGCACUCAGUUGGAGCAUGUUCCCAAAUACAUAAAUUAUGGUUUUUUGCUCUUGUCAUCAAAGUAUUUGUACUUGUCUUCAAUUAUUCCAAUUUUAUCUGGUAUUUGAUUUUCACACACUUCUUUAUACUUCACAGUAUUAGUAUUAUUCCCGGUCGAUAGAAAGAAAACUGAGGCACGUACUCCAAACUGUGUAUACUUCCAUUUCCCCAUACAGUGGAUAGUUUUAGGAUAAUGAAUGCUGUUAGUAUGGCAUUUGUCUUUUCCCUUAUGUGCUUUGCAGAGUACAAUUACAUAGUGCCCUUUCCCCACUGAGUAAGCCUGAUGGUUUGAACCUUUAGCCCAGCAGAAUCCUAAAUUUUCCUGGUAUUUCCAACAUGCAUUGUUUUAAACUUCCUCUCCUGCAAUUGGAAGUGGAGUGACUUCCCUGACUCCCACCACUGGAACUUUCGCAGUAAAAAAUAAGGCCCUAAAAAUGUAAGACCUGAACAGCCUGAUCUCCCAUAGAUCAUCUGUGUGCCAAGGUUACCAAUGAAAGUGGAAAAAAGGGAUCACUGAACUAUGGGGAACAAAUAAAGAAGUGUCAUGGUGUUCUAGAAACACAUUCAUGACAAAAUAAUUUCCCCCAGAGGAGCCUAAAAUACAUUUGAGUCCAUUCAUUUGAGUUGCAAAAUGACCUUUCUGCAGAAUGUUUUUCCUGGGGAAGAUGUGUUCAGAUUGUAUCUACUGAAAAAUUAAUGUGAGAGUUUGUAUAAA